UCUUAGGUCACAGACAUCUUGGUAUACAAAUUUGCCCAUUUAAGGGUACAUUUCAUUAUCAAUUGUUCUUAGCACCAUGUGUAGAGUUUCCAUCGCCUUGACCACCUUAGUGUAUCUAUCAUAGAAGUGUGAGCUCAAGAUAACUGUCUCAAUUCUACUUUGUUCUUGCUACCUGUUUUACUUGGAAUGCAUCCAUUCAUUCGAAGUAAACAUCGGCUUAGACUAUCUUCUCAAGGAGGCUAUUCAAGGCUAUAUAAUUAGUAGCAAACCAGGCCACGCUGGGCCUCAUCAGCUCCCUGUGUACAUGUGACCUCAUAAUGCUAGCACCUCCAGCCUCCAGGUUUGAUUGUAGACAUAUUUGGAUACUGCUUCCCCACUCUCCAUAGUUGACUUCCCUUGAUGGCAAGUCACAGAUAUCCUUCAGCAUGAGGUCUUUGCAGUAUUCUGCACAUGGAGUCUAUUGCAAAUGUGGUUCCAUCUAGUCUGUUGCCUUCUUAUACUAUAGAGUAUAGGCCAUUGUUUUUAAUAACUUGGAAAACAUCUUCUCACUGAUCUCCUCAAUGCAAUCCCCCUUACGAUCUAUAAUCUAAUUGGAGCCAUGAACCUAUUAGACGUAUCGACUGAUUUUAUGAAGAAAGCGCCUCAGGAAAUUGAUGGUGCUUCUCCUAGUUAGCCCAAACCAGCCAUCGCAUUAGUUUAUCCCCAUACAGAUCUUGUAUCCUAUUCCGUUAUAGUUACAUGUCAUUGCUCCCCUCUUUCCAAGGUCAGCCGAACCAGUACUUGAACCGGUACUGGGACCCGUGCUGGUAGCUAUCAGUUCGCUAGGGGUGAAUUGGGUGGCUCACCCCGGUUUAAUAGGC
rnacentral:lncRNA from 1 species